GACGAACGCUGGCGGCGUGCUUAACACAUGCAAGUCGAACGGAAAGGCCCUGCUUGCAGGGUACUCGAGUGGCGAACGGGUGAGUAACACGUGGGUGAUCUGCCCUGCACUUCGGGAUAAGCCUGGGAAACUGGGUCUAAUACCGGAUAGGAGCCAUUUUUAGUGUGAUGGUUGGAAAGUUUUUUCGGUGUAGGAUGAGCUCGCGGCCUAUCAGCUUGUUGGUGGGGUAUGGCCUACCAAGGCGGCGACGGGUAGCCGGCCUGAGAGGGUGGACGGCCACAUUGGGACUGAGAUACGGCCCAGACUCCUACGGGAGGCAGCAGUGGGGAAUAUUGCACAAUGGGCGCAAGCCUGAUGCAGCGACGCCGCGUGGGGGAUGACGGCCUUCGGGUUGUAAACUCCUUUCGCUAGGGACGAAGCUUUUUGUGACGGUACCUAGAGAAGAAGCACCGGCUAACUACGUG
rnacentral:rRNA from 1 species